UGCAGAUUUCCACCAGUCUGACUGGAAAACCAGCAAAAAGCAAGACGGAAAAUGGAAGGAAGAGAAACAUCUCUGAAAUGGUUACAGGCAAAUCUUUAUUAAGCCCAUUGCUCAGGAGGUCACUCCCAGUGAAAUGAUCUUGAAGAACUCAGCCAGAUUUCCUCUACGUCAGACAGACCACUGCUCCGGGCUGGCAAACAUUUUGCCAAAUGGACUUGGAUUUCAAAGAUUUUGUGUUCACUUGAUGAAAAUAAGAUGUUACACACUUUGUGUUUUCA